rnacentral:rRNA from 1 species
GGGUAGAGCACUGUUUCGGCAAGGGGGUCAUCCCGACUUACCAACCCGAUGCAAACUGCGAAUACCGGAGAAUGUUAUCACGGGAGACACACGGCGGGUGCUAACGUCCGUCGUGAAGAGGGAAACAACCCAGACCGCCAGCUAAGGUCCCAAAGUCAUGGUUAAGUGGGAAACGAUGUGGGAAGGCCCAGACAGCCAGGAUGUUGGCUUAGAAGCAGCCAUCAUUUAAAGAAAGCGUAAUAGCUCACUGGUCGAGUCGGCCUGCGCGGAAGAUGUAACGGGGCUAAACCAUGCACCGAAGCUGCGGCAGCGACGCUUAUGCGUUGUUGGGUAGGGGAGCGUUCUGUAAGCCUGCGAAGGUGUACUGUGAGGUAUGCUGGAGGUAUCAGAAGUGCGAAUGCUGACAUAAGUAACGAUAAAGCGGGUGAAAAGCCCGCUCGCCGGAAGACCAAGGGUUCCUGUCCAACGUUAAUCGGGGCAGGGUGAGUCGACCCCUAAGGCGAGGCCGAAAGGCGUAGUCGAUGGGAAACAGGUUAAUAUUCCUGUACUUGGUGUUACUGCGAAGGGGGGACGGAGAAGGCUAUGUUGGCCGGGCGACGGUUGUC